GACAGAGGAUGCAAGCGUUGUUCGGAGUUACUGGGCGUAAAGGGUGCGUAGGCGGCUUUUUAAGUUUGGUGUGAAAUCUCCCGGCUUUAACUGGGAGGGUGCAUUAGAAACUGGAAUGCUAGAGGAUGGGAGAGGUAAGCGGAAUUCCUGGUGUAGCGGUGAAAUGCGUAGAUAUCAGGAGGAACACCUGUGGUGUAGACAGCUUACUGGACCAUUUCUGACGCUGAGACACGAAAGCGUGGGUAGCAAACAGG
rnacentral:rRNA from 1 species